rnacentral:misc_RNA from 1 species
AAAGUCGUAACAAGGUUUCCGUAGGUGAACCUGCGGAAGGAUCAUUAAAAAAAAAGGAUGUGUGCCCCGUCACGCAUAACCUCUCUCUCACUCCUCCGGCCCGUAAAAUAGGCCGGUGGGUUGGAUGAGUCCUUUAGCCCUUUGUGAACUUUAUACCUUAUGCUUCGGCAGCGCGCUCUCUCCCUUACCGGUGAGGGUUGGUAAGGCUGCCGGUAGCCCAUUUAAAACUAUUUUUUUAUUUCAAAUCAUGAAGUCUGAUUACUGUUAAAUUUAAACAAGUUAAAACUUUCAGCAACGGAUCUCUUGGUUCUC